AUCAUCCUGAGCCUGAUAAUGAGGGCUGUUUAAAAUAAACAGUCUUCUCAAAAUAGAAAACAACUAGGGCUCAAAAGUGGCUGCCAACUGCCAUCUUUUAAGGACAAUCAUCACUGGUGGGUCACAUUGGAAAUGGAGAUUGUGGAACUAAUAAGUCUUGGAGCUGAAGUUGUGAUGACUAGCAUCGCUGUAGGCGAAGCCAUAAGUAAAUUAGCACCAUGCAGAGAAUGCAACAUUCAGAUUACCAAUUUUUCAGACCACUACGUUCUCACAAAUCCUGGGAUGUUCCUCUGCAGGGGAGCCUGCAUUAGUUCUUUGCCUCCUAAAAUUCUACCAUCUGGAUCUGGAGGUGUGCUUUUUGCCAAGACGACCCUCACAGGACGUGGAUUUUCUUGCAUUAUCACCUAUGAUCUUCUCAACAGUACCACUGGAAAAACCACUGAGCAAAUGGCCGUGUUCUUCAAGGUUCCGUAUGAUCUAAACUUGAAGGCAAAUGAAUAUGCAGUGGGGGUCUUUGACAUUUGCAAGGGUUGUAAUGUAAAUCUGCAUGAAGAAAUGGCAAAUAAAAUGGACAACACAUUCAUUAGAGGCCAAGCCAUGGGCCCCUCUCUGACCCACGUAAACCAAGAUGUCACUAUAAGUGCUACAAUGUCAGAUAGCUAUUCUUCUGUGAUAAAAGUGAAUUUGAGCAACAACUAAGAAACAUUUGAUUUUUUUAACAAAUCCCUCAGAUAAAAUUAUUUCGUUUUAGUGGGGAGCAGGAAAAGGCAUUAAAAUGAUUGUCCUAAAUCAGAAUAAGUGGAUAAAACACAACAAACGUGCUUAAAGGAUUUAGUUCUAGCAGUAGCACUACUUUGUUAAAUUUGCACAAAAGUCAUGGUUUAAGGUAAAUAUCUGAGGCAAUUUUUUUUUUUUUUUUCCCCCAUUUCACAUGUCAAAGAUUUUUGCAAUAUAAUUGUAACUGGUGUUACUGAUCAUGAGCCUUUGCCUUUAAUAUUUUUUUUUUACCGGACAUUUCUUAACUCUUAUGUUGAAAGUAAUACUGGUUUGUGAUUUUCAUAUCAGAAUAAACAAACCUCCAAUAGCA